rnacentral:rRNA from 1 species
AUUGAACGCUGGCGGCAGGCCUAACACAUGCAAGUCGAGCGGAUGACGGGAGCUUGCUCCUUGAUUCAGCGGCGGACGGGUGAGUAAUGCCUAGGAAUCUGCCUGGUAGUGGGGGACAACGUUUCGAAAGGAACGCUAAUACCGCAUACGUCCUACGGGAGACAGCAGGGGACCUUCGGGCCUUGCGCUAUCAGAUGAGCCUAGGUCGGAUUAGCUAGUUAGUGGGGUAAUGGCUCACCAAGGCGACGAUCCGUAACUGGUCUGAGAGGAUGAUCAGUCACACUGGAACUGAGACACGGUCCAGACUCCUACGGGAGGCAGCAGUGGGGAAUAUUGGACAAUGGGCGAAAGCCUGAUCCAGCCAUGCCGCGUGUGUGAAGAAGGUCUUCGGAUUGUAAAGCACUUUAAGUUGGGAGGAAGGGAAGUAAGCUAAUACCUUGCUGUUUUGACGUUACCGACAGAAUAAGCACCGGCUAACUCUGUGCCAGCCGCCGCGGUAA